UCGGGAAUUUUGGGCAAUGGGCGAAAGCCUGACCCAGCAACGCCGCGUGAAGGAUGAAGUAUUUCGGUAUGUAAACUUCGAAAGAAUAGGAAGAAUAAAUGACGGUACUAUUUAUAAGGUCCGGCUAACUACGUGCCAGCAGCCGCGGUAAUACGUAGGGACCAAGCGUUGUUCGGAUUUACUGGGCGUAAAGGGCGCGUAGGCGGCAAUUCAAGUCAUCUGUGAAAUCUCCGGGCUUAACUCGGAACGGUCAGAUGAUACUGCUUUGCUAGAGUGCAGAAGGGGCAAUCGGAAUUCUUGGUGUAGCGGUGAAAUGCGUAGAUAUCAAGAGGAACGCCUGAGGUGAAGACGGGUUGCUGGGCUGACACUGACGCUGAGGCGCGAAAGCCAGGGGAGCAAACGGGAUUAGAUACCCAAGUAGUCCCUGAGCGGGCUGGCAAGGCGCAU
rnacentral:rRNA from 1 species